rnacentral:rRNA from 1 species
UACAGAGGUCCCAAGCGUUGUUCGGAUUCAUUGGGCGUAAGGGGUGCGUAGGUGGCGGGGUAAGUUGGAUGUGAAAUCCCGGGGCUCAACCCCGGAACUGCAUUCAAUACUGCUCCGCUAGAGUACUGGAGAGGAGAUUGGAAUUCAUGGUGUAGCAGUGAAAUGCGUAGAUAUCAUGAGGAAGACCAGUGGCGAAGGCGGAUCUCUGGACAGUUACUGACACUGAGGCACGAAGGCCAGGGGAGCAAACGGG